CAAGGCUCAAAAUAACUCAGUGGAGCUGAGCCAGCCAGCGGCUGCUGCCAUAACCUGGAAGGAAACGACAGGCACUGAAUAAACUUCCUGGGUCGGCCUGCGGCUGGAGCGCGGAGGAGAAGCGGCAGCGGGAGUGAUGGGUUUGACCAGCAGCGUUCUAGCUGAUUCCCAAGUAUCAUUGUAAUGAUGUCAUCAAGAAUGAAUCUGUCUGCUGGCAUUCCCAGUAGUAAAGUCAAGUAUUCCAAGCUUUCCAGUACUGAUGAUGGAUAUAUUGACCUGCAGUUCAAGAAGAGCCCACCAAAAAUUCCCUACAAGGCAAUUGCACUUGCUGUCGUGCUCUUCAUGAUUGGGACCUUUCUCAUUAUCAUAGGAGCCCUCCUCUUGGCAGGAUACAUUAGCAAAGGUGGAACGGACCGUGCUAUCCCCGUGCUCAUCAUCGGGAUUCUUGUAUUUCUCCCAGGCUUCUACCACCUGCGCAUUGCGUAUUACGCUUCCAAAGGCUACCGGGGCUAUUCUUAUGACGAUAUCCCAGAUUUUGAUGACUGAAUGCUGUUCCUGACAACGUUAUAAUUAGCAAGAUCACCACCUGCAAAGCACCUCCCUGACUUCUGCCUUUCCACUGGGCAAUUUUCUCAUUGCUGUGCUCUGGAGCUGCAGCUCAUCAGUUUAGCAGCAACAGAUCAAGGACGGCACCUUUCCUAGUUGGCUCCCUUAGCACCUGCACCAAGAAGUUAUCAUCUAGGUGCUUUAUGGACCUCCUGGACUUGCUCGUGUCAGCUGUGUGGUGAUCCCAGUUGACGUCUGGCAAAUUGAAAUCUCCCAUAAGGACAAGGGGAAUUGAUCUCGAGGCAUCUCUUAGUUCUGCAAAUAAUUCAUCGGCGUUGUCGUCCUGGCCAGGUGGUCUGUAAUAGAUUCCCACAACGACAUCCCCUUUAUUUGUUCAUCCCUUAAUCCUUACCCAGAGGUACUCAACUUUGCCAUCCCCAACCUGAAGUUCCACACAGUCCAGCCCAUGCUUCACAUACAUUGCCACCCCACCACCUUGCCUGUCCCCCCUGAAGAGCCUGUAACCAUCUAUUGCAGCACACCAGCCACAGGACUCAUCCCACCAGGUUUCACUUAUGCUGAUGAUGUCGUAGCUGUGGGACUGGGCCAAGACUUCUAGCUCGUCCAUUUUACUCCUCAUACUGCAUGCGUUUGUGUAGAAGCACUUCAAAUGCACUUCCCUACACACAGCACCUUGUGGAGCCGACCGAAGGACCUCUGGCACACAGUCCCUCUGGUUCUGGCGCACGAUCAACGAAAAGCCAGCUACCAGGGGAGUUUUCACACACAGAACAGCAUCAGCUUAUGAGCUAAAAGCUAUAUUCAGCAAAGGAAGUCAGGGUUUAGAAAAUCUUGCAGAAAGCUGACAUUAAAUGCUGGGCCAAAUUCUUUGCUGACACCAAUUAAUGUCAAUUAGGGAGAGGGGUCAAUUAGAUAAUAGACUGUGUAAGACAUUUGGACAUGAGAUUUCUAGCCUGCCCAACUCACUCCUUACUCAGUCUCACCUCAGCAAGGAUUAUUUCUUACUCUUACACAUGUGUAUUCAGUGUAAAAGUGAAAGUUUUCAAGUCCUUAAACACACAAAUACGAAUUAGUAUCACCGUAUUAUUUUCUACCAGUUAAUUUUCAUUAACACCAUUAGAAGAAUUCUACCAGAUCCUUCAAUAUUCAUUUUCUUGUCUCUUAAUACUAACAGUGCAUGUAGCAGCAUGACUUCUUCAGCACUAUUUUGGGUGGUUCUUUUCCAGACAAGUAUCUUAUUUUCCCUGUAUUUGGUUAUGCAGGUCAAGUGUAUUUUUUUUUGCACAAGAACAGCAGCAGGAUUGUAAUGUGGCCAGUUCAAAUGUAUGUCUAAAAGUAGGCCAGCGGAUGGUCUCCAACUACAAAUAAUUAAAAAAAAAAAAGUAUUUGUAAAAGUUUCUCUGUUGUGCAACCACAUUUCAAGUUGCUGAGAAGAUACUGCAGAGUUCAACUUGUUCAACAGCCUCCUUGUGUUUUAACCCUCCACAUGAAACAAAGGAGACUGACUGUCUUUGACUCAGACCCACGGCAGUCUGAGGCACUGUAUGUUUGAAGCUGACAGCCUGCUCCUCUCCAGGGAAUUUAACAUCCCUUCAGCAGGGUCAGCACACCAGGAUGCUGUCCUGGUCCAAUGCUCCCUCCCCAUCCUUCCUACAACAGGAUGGGAAGCAUUGAAAUAGGAGGGUGUAUAGGCUGGGUGCACAUCCCUUCUCCCACAUCUGCUGUAGGGAAAAUAAUUUAACAGUGGGAGGACAGCCCAGAACUUGCAAAAUCUCCCCUUCAAUGACACUGUAUCAGUCUGGCACUACCUAAGAGUAAUGGAGAGGUAGGACUUCAGGCAGGAAGGAGUUACCUAAAGGAAGGGCAAUUUGCUGGGGGGAAGUUGGAGUUCAUUGUUCCAGGCUCUGCUGUGGAUUUCCUUUGCAUCCUUUCGUCUCUCUGAGUCUUGGUUCUCAUCAUAAAAGGGGUUGCUUGUCUUUCUUUUUGCUAUUUUCGUAAAAGGACCGACUGUAAGCCCUUCAUAGCAUGGACUCUACCUUAACCUGUGUGCAGUGGCACAGUGGGAAAGCUCUGUCAGCAGGGAGUAUAAAUAGUGAGUCUGUCCAGCCCUGUGGCAUCCAGGUUUGCUAUAAUUGCCUCGUUUGCACUCCUGUGACAAGUGUUAGUUCAGCUGUCAGGGAAAGAAGGAACUGAAGAGUAUUGCCACAGAAAAUUUCCAGCUCUUGGUUUGCCCAUUGUGCUUUGGUUUGGGCCCAGUUCUCCCUCCUGCCUCAGGGAGUUCUUCUUUUUCUAGCCAAGUGAGUGACGAUUCCCACAAAGUAUCUACCCAGCGUGACUCCAAUUUCAGAAGCUUUUAGAGGGCUUGUUGUGGUACUGUCUGUUUCCCUCUUUGACUCAGCACCACACUCAUUUAUUUUGUGUUUUGCUACUCGCUAGAUUUUGCAACAAUCAUUUUUCUACCAUUUCUGACAUUGCUGUGUUUUUGUAACCAUACAUUCAUGUGAUGAACUAAAUGAGUCAUGGGCAUAUAGAGGAUAAAAGCAAUUACAACAUCCAAGACCAUC